AUAGCCAUAAGUGUCCUAGCGGCCUUUACCGGACCUCUGUGUGGAUUAUUCAUCUUGGCAGCAUUUUGUCCUUGGGCUAAUGCAAAGGGGGCAUUCACCGGUACACUCGUGGGUUUAAUACUCAUGAUGUGGAUCUGCCUGGGUUCUACAUUUUCCGGUGUUGUGAAGCCGACACCAUGGCUUCCUCCUGCAUCAACUAACCAAUGCAUGACUGCAACACCACCAGUGGCUUCAAACACGUCUACAUGGACGACGUUUACACCAUCUGUGUACAACGCAUCAGUGGCCGAAACCUUCCGAGAGCCCAUAUGGAUAGAGGAAAUCUACCGGCUCUCUUAUGUGUGGCUUGCACUUCUCGGCAUUAGUCUGACAACAUUCACUGGCUUCACUGCCAGUUGGAUCACAGGUUUUAAUCGCAACAGCCCAGUAGAUCCCAGGUACUUGGUGCCUGUUGUUGACAGACUGUGCUGCUGUCUUCCCAGAUCGACCAGGGCUUUCCUUUC